AUGAACGCUGGCUACAGGCUUAACACAUGCCAGUCGAGGGGAAACGACGGGGAAGCUUGCUUCCCCGGGCGUCGACCGGCGCACGGGUGAGUAACGCGUAUCCAACCUGCCUCUGACUGAGGGAUAACCCGUCGAAAGUCGGCCUAAUACCUCAUGGUAUCGUCUGCGGGCAUCCAACGACGAUUAAAGAUUUCAUCGGUCAGGGAUGGGGAUGCGUCUGAUUAGCUUGUUGGCGGGGUAACGGCCCACCAAGGCUACGAUCAGUAGGGGUUCUGAGAGGAAGGUCCCCCACAUUGGAACUGAGACACGGUCCAAACUCCUACGGGAGGCAGCAGUGAGGAAUAUUGGUCAAUGGGCGAGAGCCUGAACCAGCCAAGUAGCGUGCAGGAAGACGGCCCUAUGGGUUGUAAACUGCUUUUAUGCGGGGAUAAAGUGAGGGACGUGUCCCUCAUUGCAGGUACCGCAUGAAUAAGGACCGGCUAAUUCCGUG
rnacentral:rRNA from 1 species